GAUGAACGCUGGCGGCGUGCCUAACACAUGCAAGUCGAACGGACUUUUCAUGAAGCCUAGCGAUUGAAAAGUUAGUGGCGGACGGGUGAGUAACGCGUGGGUAACCUGCCUUGUACUGGGGGACAACAGUUGGAAACGACUGCUAAUACCGCAUAAGCGCACAGCUUCGCAUGAAGCAGUGUGAAAAACUCCGGUGGUACAAGAUGGACCCGCGUCCGAUUAGCUGGUUGGUGAGGUAACAGCCCACCAAGGCGACGAUCAGUAGCCGGCCUGGGACGGUGAACGGCCACAUUGGGACUGAGACACGGCCCAAACUCCUACGGGAGGCAGCAGUGGGGAAUAUUGCACAAUGGGGGAAACCCUGAUGCAGCAACGCCGCGUGAGUGAAGAAGUAUUUCGGUAUGUAAAGCUCUAUCAGCAGGAAAGAAAAUGACGGUACCUGACUAAGAAGCCCCGGCUAACUACGUGCCAGCCGCCGCCGUAA
rnacentral:rRNA from 1 species